rnacentral:rRNA from 1 species
GACGAACGCUGGCGGCGUGCCUAAUACAUGCAAGUCGAGCGAACAGACGAGGAGCUUGCUCCUCUGACGUUAUCGGCGGACGGGUGAGUAACACGUGGAUAACCUACCUAUAAGACUGGGAUAACUUCGGGAAACCGGAGCUAAUACCGGAUAAUAUAUUGAACUUCAUGGUUCAAUAGUGAAAGACGGUUUUGGUGUCACUUAUAGAUGGAUCCGCGCCGCAUUAGCUAGUUGGUAAGGUAACGGCUUACCAAGGCGACGAUGGGUAGCCGACCUGAGAGGGUGGUCGGCCACACUGGAACUGAGACACGGUCCAGACUCCGACGGGAGGCAGCAGUAGGGAAUCUUCCGCGAUGGGCGAGAGCCUGACAGAGCAACGCCGCGUGAGUGAUGAAGGUCUUCGGAUCGUAAAACUCUGUUAUUAGGGAAGAACAAAUGUGUAAGUAACUAUGCACAUAUUGACGGUACCUGAUCAAAAAGCCCCGGCUAACUACGUG